CAGGUGUCCCCAGGGGUGUCCUCAGGUGUGUCCCCAGGUGUCCCCAGGUGUCCCCAGGGGUGUUUUUGGUGUCCCCAGGUGUGUCCCCAGGGGUGUCCCCAGGUGUCCCCAGGUGUGUCUCAGGUGUCCCCAGCUGUCCCCAGGUGUGUCCCCAGGUGUCCCCAGGUG